UGAGUAAGCCAGGCGAUCGCGGAUCCUGAGGGAACUCUGGGUUCGAGGAAAGUCCGGGCUCCAUAGGGUAAGGGUGCCAGAUAACGUCUGGCGGAGGCGACUCCAGGGAAAGUGCAACAGAAACACACCGCCCACCGGCGCAAGCCGCGGUAAGGUUGAAAUGGUGAGGUAAGAGCUCACCGGCAGUAUGGUAACAUGCUGGCCGUGUAAACCCCACCCGGAGCAAGACCAAGUGAGGGAGGAAACUGCCGCAAGGCAAAGUACCUGAAAGGCGGUACCCGCCGCUUCCUGAGAGGUAGGUCGCACGAGCCUGCUGGUGACAGCAGGCCUAGAUAGAUGAUCGUCAAAUACAGAACCCGGCUUAUAGGCUUGCUCACACC
rnacentral:RNase_P_RNA from 1 species